rnacentral:lncRNA from 1 species
AAGAAAGAGCAGGUCUCAAAGAGAUGACAACCAAACAGGACAAAACAAGAUACAAUAAGACAAGGUAAACGCCCUCAUAUUGAGGUUGGACAAGGCAACCCAGUAGGAGGAAGAGUUCCAAGAGCAGGCAAAAGAGUCAGAGAAACAUACACCCCUACCUUUAGAAAUCUCACAAAACACCACUUUAAAAAGUCUGUACUGAUUAGUAGCUUAUGUGUAUAAAUGAAAUCAUUUGCUUAUCAUUGGUGCCUUUAUAUAUUUGUUAUUACUGUCCUAGAUGUACAUUUCUGGGAAGAAAUAAGGUGAUUUUAAUAAGGCCUAUCUAACUUUAGAACUAGAAUAUUUAUUAGAUUUUACUAUGUUUAAAUAGAAACUUAAUUUUAUGCCAGUUUUGGUGGUGGUGUUCAAGUCAAUUAAUUCAAUUUCUCCUACUUUAAGUACAUUAGUUAUUUUAUCUCACUGAAUAAUUUUUUCUUGGAAAUUCAGACUGAUAUAGUGAUUAUGUUUGUUAUAUUCAAAAUUGUGAAUAGAGGAACAAUGUCAUGAUCAGGUUAUUACAGAAAGGGCAGAGAACUCUCCUAUAUCUUGACUCUUUCAGAUUAUACACUAUAUAAUUUACUCUGUCCUCUACCACCUUAUAUGUAAAAUUGAAUCCAACUUUGCACUUCAAACAUCUGUUUGCAUGUCUCAUACGGAGAUCCAUAUCUGGAUCAUUCUUGGCUCAGUAUUUGAUGACUUUGGGGGAGGACAUAAAAUUUGUCCCAAAUGGAAUACUCCUAUAUUCCCCACUUUUCCAUCCUUUUAUUCCAUAUUUGACCAUAUUUAAUAAUUGCAGAUUCCACUUGGCCUUUCAAAGACUGGAAGACUAUAUAGUCUUCUAAUCUUAUUCCAGUCUAUCCAAACCAUCCUCCUCUGAGCUUUCUUUUCUCUGAUUUCAGUAAUCACUUCAUUUAAUUGGUUCCCAGUCAUCUCCCAUGUCUGCUAUAGCCAUUCCUCAUGAACUGAACAGGACAAGAAAGAAAUUUUCAAUGAUAUUUUUAUUGUUAAAAAUUUGCCAAGUGAAACAUUACUUAUUAUUUAAGUCUAUAGUAGCUCUUUCCUGGUUUCCUGUAGUCUUGGUCUACAAAUAUGAUCCUUAAUGCUUUCUUCUAGUGACAGUCUCAAGUAACAUAAUAAAGAACUGAAGCUUACAAGGUCAUGUAACUCAAGUGUUUCAAAAUCACAUUUUCUGAAGACCUCUGAAGAUAUCAAAUUUAAGAUAUAAAGUUUGAGUCUUGAUCUCCCUGUGGAUUUGCUUAUUGUUUUAAAAUGUUUGUGUGUGUGUGUGUGUGCAUGUGUGUAUGCAUAUAUAAUGUAUAUAUGCAUAUUUUAUUAGUACAAAAUUGAUAUCACAGAUUUGAGAAUUUAAUGUUUAUUGGAAGAAUCCAUGAAUAUAUCAUGUCCAGUAUAUGCAUCAUAUUUUGUCAUUUAUAAUUUGCCUAAAAUUUUCAAUACCCAGAAAGUUAAAUACCUCUUCAUCUUUAAAUAUAUUUGUGAAAGAAAUAGAAGGGGGAGAAAAAGAAGGAAAGAAAAAAAGAAUUUUUCUUUAUGAUAAACUUAAAUCAUGAAGUAUCUCUUUAUUAGCAAAUUCUAGAAUCUGAAGAAUCACAGAAAUAACUUCCUUCUAUUGGAAAGGUUUUCACAAGUAUAUAUUUAACUGUCUGAGCUUUCUGAGCUUUCUCUUCUUCACAUACAAUGUUCAACUAUAUCUCAUCAAUUAUGACUGCUACUUUUCUCCUUUGAUCUUGGUUAGCCUCAGGGUCGCUUUUUGCUUUUCCUAAAACUAAUAAGGAUAAUUAGAUAAGUAAAAAUAGAAAACACCCUACCAAGUACUUUGUAUGAAUUCAAAUAUGCAAUAUACCCUAGCUCACUUCUCAUCUUCUAAUUUUACAAUGCUAUUAGAAAAACCAUUAGGCAUGACUGGAAGUGAUUUGUUCUUUAUAGAAACCUCAUACUUCUAUUUUUUCAAAAUUCAGUUAUUCUCAAGAUAUUUAUUUUGUUGUUCCAUUAAAAUUGAAAGAGAAAAGAAAAUAAGAGGCUAGAAAAUAUAUCUUGGUACCUUGAGCAAUUUGGACUCGAAAAAUGUCAACAUGACAUGAAAAUUUCUCUAGAUAUUUUACUAUUUCUUUUCCAGUGACUAGUUAAUAUUUCUUGCAUUGCUUAUAGGACUUGACUCCUGUCAUUGGUUGGAAAUGGGGGAGACUUGGAAUAGCACCCACUUAGGAGCAGUUAAACCUGCCAAGGGGUGCUGAAACUUAUAAAAACUCUUCUAAAUGAUCAAACAGAUUCUUAGCUUUGAAGAAUUCUAUGAAUAGCUGUGAUGUUGCCACAAACCACCAUUUUGUUCAAAGAACUAGAACUACAAAUACUAGAAACACUGCCUGUAGAUAAAAAUAGAUGGAUAUCCCAAACCUGAGUUUAAUCUCAUAUGCUGACAGUGGCUUUAAAACACAAGUUCUAAUAAUAAUUUAAAAAUAGCCAUAGCAAUGGAGAAGUUAGUUUGAGAUGAUAUUUCUUGGAACUAGAAACUCAGUAACAGACAAGGGUGGAUUCAAAACCAUAAAGAAAAGAAAGACACAGAAAAAUAGGAAGGAAGUCUAUUGUUUCUGGCCAGGUAUAAAGAAAGAUGCUGAGAAGAGAGUAAAGAAUGCAGGGAAGGUUGUAGCCAUCACCAAGCAAGACACUCAGACUCCCCUGGCACUAAGUCUAAAGAUCUGUUGUAAGGUUGGCAUGGUUCCUAUUUCCUAUCUUUCACCAUACACACACACACACACACACACACACACACACACACACA